CCCAAGACAACUUAAAGUGUUUGUGGACAACCACUAUCAAAACUUGUAGAGAUGGAAAACCUUUCUUCCUAAAGAGUUCAGCAUACUCCAGAUCUGUUUGACCGCUUUAAGGAGGCCUCGUAUAUGCAAGCAGAGCUAAGGGACAAGGACCAGAAUCUUGGGGUAAGAUGGUGGACAAGCACCUCACCAGCUUCUGUGGGAGCACCUGUCACAUCAUGCAAUCUUCAGGAACACCUCCAGUUUGUCAACAGUCUGGUCUCAGCCCAGGACUGAGCAAGAAGGUGCUUCAUUUAAUGAGAAUGACUUCACUCAGAAAAAGACAGAAGAACAGAUUGCAACACCAGGAGGGAAAAGAGCUGUCAGUUAUAACACAGGAGGUUCUUCAUAACUCAGAAGAUGGCUGCAACAACCCUGACCCCAUGAGGAUUUCAGUGCUGCACAAGCACUCUGCUCUGUUGGUGGCAUGUUCCACCCCAGAGAUGGCUGGCUGUAAUCCUUUACAGACACUAAGAUAAAAGAGAAGGCUGACAAGGUUUUUCAAGAUGCCAUUAAAUGAAGAGUGGUGAUGAUUCUCUUAGAUUUGCUUUGAUGAAAGUGUUAUAUAACCUCUGGAAUUACAGUGAGAAAGAUAAAGACCCUUGGGCAGGAAGAUUGGCAGAUGGAAUGGGAGACAAGGAACAGAG
rnacentral:lncRNA from 1 species